CAUCUGGAAAAAAAAUCCUCAGACUUUUCACCGAUUGUUUGGUGUCAACCCAUAGGUGGACUCAAAAGGAAAUGGGAAAAUUCUCCUAAAUGCCGGUUUGGAGAGAACAAAAGACACUGGUGUUCUGUCAAAGUAAUCCAGCUAAUGAAUCCUUUCUUUGAAAACCUCUGAGGUCAGGACUAGACUGGAGUCUUUCUUAUUGUGCUGAGUGCAGCUCAACAGAACAAACAUUGUUCACAAGCAAGUCUUAUAGUUCUUUGGCUACAGCUCAAAUAUUUUAGACGAUGCAGUAUUUAGUACCCAAAUAUUGGGUCUUGGACCAAAAUGUAUUUCCCAGCUCUGAUACACAUGACAGCUCUGGUGUACAUGCCUGAAGACGUUGCCCUAUAACACAAAAGCACUCUGUAUGUCAACAUUUUGGAAGCCCUGUACCUCACAACAUCUGUGCAGAUAGUUGCGUGAAUCUGAAUGACCGCAAAAAUGAAAGAAUCUCAAUAAAAAUAUUUUAUUUUA